rnacentral:pre_miRNA from 1 species
UAGCAGCACGUAAAUAUUGGUGUUAAGAUUCUGUAAAUAUCUCCAGUAUUAACUGUGCUGCUGAA